GGGUGCGAUCAUACCAGCCCUAGUGCACUAGAUCCCAAUAAGAACUCCGCAGUUAAACUGCUUGGACGAGAAUAAUACUAAAUUGGAUGAUCACUUGGGAAGUUCUCGUGUUGCACCCC
rnacentral:rRNA from 2 species